UCCCCGUUGGUGUAACUGGCAGCACGUCGGCCUUUGGAGCCGGUAGGUCGAGGUUCGAAUCCUCGACGGGGAG
rnacentral:tRNA from 1 species